CCUACGGGUGGCAGCAGUGGGGAAUAUUGCGCAAUGGGCGAAAGCCUGACGCAGCGACGCCGCGUGAGGGAUGAAGGUCUUCGGAUCGUAAACCUCUGUCAGCAGGGAAGAACGGUCACUGUGCUAAUCAGCAGUGACUUGACGGUACCUGCAAAGGAAGCACCGGCUAACUCCGUGCCAGCAGCCGCGGUAAUAUGGAGGGUGCGAGCGUUAAUCGGAAUUACUGGGAGUAAAGCGCUCGUAGGCGGUAUGUCAAGUCAAGUGUGAAGUCCCCGCGCUCAACGUGGGAGCUGACGUUGAAACUGGCAAGCUGGAGUGUGUGAGAGGAUAGUGGAAUUCCAGGUGUAGGAGUGAAAUCCGUAGAUAUCUGGAGGAACAUCAGUGGCGAAGGCGACUAUCUGGCACAUAACUGACGCUGAGGAGCGAAAGCGUGGGUAGCAAACAGGAUUAGAUACCCGAGUAGUC
rnacentral:rRNA from 1 species